rnacentral:rRNA from 1 species
GAUCAUGGCUCAGGAUGAACGCUGGCGGCGCGCCUAACACAUGCAAGUCGAACGGCACCUGCCCUCGGGCAGAAGCGAGUGGCGAACGGCUGAGUAACACGUGGAGAACCUGCCCCCCUCCCCCCGGGGAUAGCCGCCCGAAAAGGGACGGGGUAAAUACCGGGAUACCCCGGGGUGCCGCAUGGCACCCCGGCUAAAGCCCCGACGGGAGGGGGAUGGCUCCGCGGCCCAUCAGGUAGACGGCGGGGUGACGGCCCACCGUGCCGACAACGGGUAG